UUGGAGGGCAAGUCUGGUGCCAGCAGCCGCGGUAAUUCCAGCUCCAAUAGCGUAUAUUAAAGUUGUUGCAGUUAAAAAGCUCGUAGUUGAAUUUCGGGGUUCUUCCGUUGGUCAGGCUAACCAGUCUGUACUAGCGUGUAGAAUUCCUACCUUCUGGGGAACCAUCAUGUUAUUAAUUUAGCGUGGUGGGAAACCAGGACCUUUACCUUGAAAAAAUUAGAGUGUUCAAAGCAGGCUUACGUCUGAAUACAUUAGCAUGGAAUAAUAAAAUAGGACGGUGGUCCUGUUUUGUUGGUUUCUGAAUCACCGUAAUGAUUAAUAGGGAUAGUUGGGGGCAUUAGUAUUCAAUUGUCAGAGGUGAAAUUCUUGGAUUUAUUGAAGACUAACUUCUGCGAAAGCAUUUGCCAAGGAUGUUUUCAUUAAUCAAGAACGAAAGUUAGGGGGUCGAAGACGAUCAGAUACCGUCGUAGUCUUAACCAUAAACUAUGCCGGCUAGGGAUCGGACGAUGUUAAAUUUUAUUGACUCGUUCGGCGCCUUACGGGAAAC
rnacentral:rRNA from 1 species